AGCCUACUCUGGACCUAACAGCAUGUUGCCAGAUCUUAUUGGCAAUUUAUCUACCCAUCUCACUUGGCUUAGUAUGGGGAUAAAUCAAAUAUCUGGAAUGAUACCUAGAGGAAUUGGACAGCUGUACAGUUUAACUAACUUCAUUAUGAUAGAUAAUUACCUUGAGGGAAUUAUUCCAGAUUCAAUAGGAAAGCUUAAACAUCUAGUAAGAUUCGCUGUGCAAAAAAACAAUUUGUCUGGUAGUAUUCCUAAUGCCAUCGGCAAUCUUACUAUGUUGUCUGAACUUUAUCUACACACCAAUAAAUUGGAAGGAAGCAUUCCAUUAAGCCUCAAAUACUGCACCCGCAUGCAGUCAUUUGGUGUUUCUGACAACAACUUGAGUGGUGAUAUCCCUAAUCGAACAUUUGGCAAUCAAGAAGGUUUGAUAAAUCUUGACUUAUCCAACAACUCUUUCACUGGCUCCAUUCCUUUGGAGUUUGGAAACUUGAAGCACCUAUCCAUAUUAUAUCUAUACGAAAACAAGUUAUCAGGUGAAAUUCCCCUUCAACUCGGCACUUGUUCUGCGUUAACAGAGCUCGUGCUGGAGAGAAACUUUUUCAAUGGAAGCAUACCUUCUUUCUUGGGCUCUUUAAGGUCCCUCGAAAUCCUAGACCUCUCUAACAACAACUUCUCAAGCACAAUCCCGGGGGAACUUCAAAAUCUGAGUUAUCUGAAUACUUUGGACCUGUCUUUUAACCAUCUCUACGGUGAGAUUCCUAUAGGAGGUGUCUUUAGUAACGUCACAGCAAUAUCACUCAUUGGAAAUAAGGAUCUGUGUGGUGGGAUACCUCAAUUGAAGCUCCCAGCAUGCUCUAAGUUUCCCUCAAAGAAACUCAAGGGGUCUUUUAGAAAGAAACUCAUCAUCAUCAUUGUAAUUGGAGUUGGAGGGGGUUUCGUCACUUUCAUUAUAUUUAUGAGCAUCUAUUUCUUUAGGAAAAAGUCAAAAACAUUAUCUUCUUCAGGGUCUCUAGAGAAUAGGUACGUGAAGGUUUCUUAUGGAGAGCUGCAUGAAGCAACCAAUGGAUUUUCUUCAUCCAAUUUGGUAGGGACCGGAAGCUUUGGUUCUGUAUAUGGAGGAUCUCUUCUCCAUUUUGCAAGACCUAUUGCCGUAAAGGUGUUGAAUCUUGAAAAGGGUGGGGCGUCAAAGAGUUUCACAGCUGAAUGCAAGGCUCUGGGAAAGAUCAAGCACAGGAAUCUUCUCAACAUCGUGACUUGUUGUUCAAGUAUCGACUAUAAUGGGAAUGACUUCAAGGCCAUAGUUUUUGAGUUGAUGCCUAAUGGGAGUCUAGAAAGUUUGCUGCACAACAACGAAGAGCUUGGGUCUAGAAUUUUCGAUCUUAACCCUCAACAUAGGAUAAAUAUUGCUCUUGAUGUUGCUAAUGCAUUGGAUUAUCUUCAUAAUGGUUCUGAGGAACCUGUAGUUCACUGUGAUAUUAAGCCAAGCAACGUUCUUCUUGAUAAUGACAAUGUUGCCCACUUGGGAGAUUUUGGGUUAGCAAGGCUCCUUAAUGUGGUUACGGGACAUUCUAGCAGAGAUCGGGUUAGUUCGUCUGCAAUUAGAGGAACCAUUGGAUAUGUUCCCCCAGAGUAUGGAGCGGGUGUGCAUGUAUCAGCAAAAGGAGAUAUCUACAGCUACGGAAUUCUUGUGUUGGAGAUGCUGACCGGAAAGAAACCAACGGAUAACAUGUUUGGUGAGGGUCUAAGCCUACACAAAUUCUGUGAGAAUGCAAUUCCAGAUAGAAUUAUAGAGAUAGUAGAUUCACGUUUGCUUGUGUCCAGUGCUGAAGAGGGAACAAGGGUCAUGGAAAGAACCAUUGGGGAGUGUUUGGUGUCCUUUGCUAGGAUUGGAGUUGCAUGUGCCGCAGAAUUGCCCAAUCAGCGAAUGGACAUAAAAGAUGUGAUAGUGGAGUUGCAAGCAAUCAAACGGAAGCUACCUUAAUUUGUUAACAUUUUUGUGUUAACAAAUUAAGGGGUUUGCCUGUAAGCUUCUUCUUCCCACGAAAUCAAGCUCUCCAUCUCCACCACCGUCACUGAUUUCCGGUCACUGUCGUUGCUUUGAUUUGAGUUCAGAAGGUGCACGUAAUAACAGUAAGAUGUUCUACUCCAAGUUUUGGAAGAGCUACAUAUUAUUUGUUUCUGAUCCAAUGCAAUCCGAAUGAAAAGCGCACACUAAAAUGAAGAUGGUUUAUCUCAAGAACUACUCCCUGAUGGAGAUUGAGCAUGACAAAUGUGAUGGAUGAAGGUGGUGAUACUUGCAAAAACCUCGAUGCUCAAGUCACAAAGGAUUUUGGAUGAAUUAUAGAAGUAAUUAUUUCUCUUUUUACUCAAUAAUUAGUUCUAAAAGGGUAAAUUGAGUAUUACUUUGGUCCUUAACAAAA